GAUGAACGCUGGCGGCGUGCCUAAUACAUGCAAGUCGAGCGAACAGACGAGGAGCUUGCUCCUCUGACGUUAGCGGCGGACGGGUGAGUAACACGUGGAUAACCUACCUAUAAGACUGGGAUAACUUCGGGAAACCGGAGCUAAUACCGGAUAAUAUAUUGAACCGCAUGGUUCAAUAGUGAAAGACGGUUUUGCUGUCACUUAUAGAUGGAUCCGCGCCGCAUUAGUUAGUUGGUAAGGUAACGGCUUACCAAGGCGACGAUGCGUAGCCGACCUGAGAGGGGGAUCGGCCACACUGGAACUGAGACACGGUCCAAACUCCUACGGGAGGCAGCAGUAGGGAAUCUUCCGCAAGGGGCGAAAGCCUGACGGAGCAACGCCGGGUGGGGGAUGAAGGUCUUCGGAUCGUAAAACUCUGUUAUUAGGGAAGAAAAAAUGUGUAAGUAACUAUGCACGUCUUGACGGUACCUAAUCAGAAAGCCCCGGCUAACUACGG
rnacentral:rRNA from 1 species